rnacentral:rRNA from 1 species
UACGGAGGGUGCAAGCGUUAUCCGGAUUUAUUGGGUUUAAAGGGUCCGUAGGCUGAUGUGUAAGUCAGUGGUGAAAUCUCACAGCUUAACUGUGAAACUGCCAUUGAUACUGCAUGUCUUGAGUGUUGUUGAAGUAGCUGGAAUAAGUAGUGUAGCGGUGAAAUGCAUAGAUAUUACUUAGAACACCCAUUGCGAAGGCAGGUUACUAAGCAACAACUGACGCUGAUGGACGAAAGCGUGGGGAGCGAACAGGAUUAGAUACCCUGGUAGUCCACGCCGUAAACGAUGCUAACUCGUUUUUGGGUUUUCGGAUUCAGAGACUAAGCGAAAGUGAUAAGUUAGCCACCUGGGGAGUACGAACGCAAGUUUG